rnacentral:lncRNA from 1 species
CUUUGGUUUUAUUCUCAGAAUAGUGGUGGGAAGCAAAGUGCCCAAGAAGGUAGGGUGUCGUCAUAAAGAUGGAGAGUUUCUUUGUACUAAUCCCACAGGUCUUCUCCUAAAUGCUUCGCUGAGGUGCAGAUGCUCAGUCAAGGUCAACCAGAUCUGCUCAACAGUUUUUCUGGUUCUGAGGUCAAGGCUGUGGACUCCACUUCCCAAAGGGAGCUGUUUACUGGGCCUACAGAAAACUUCUGUUCCAAAGUCACACAUGUUCCUGUGAUACUGAACAACCAGCUUUGAAAUCUGUGUCCUUGACCAUGAAGAAGAGCUGGUGAAAGAUCAUGGAGAGACCAAUGCAAACCCAUCCUUUCUACUGAGGAGGAGAACCAUAAAACUCCAGGGAGGCCCUCAGUGUCACUGUUUGCUUCCCAGCAUUGGUGGUAGAGGAAAGGAGACAGAGGAAGGUGCAGCCCACUUCCACAGUACUAUUCACUGCACCAACCUCCAACUGGUGACUCUCCUGUGCCAGCAGCCCUCGUUUGAAGGUGGUUGUUCAAGAUUGUCCAGAGCAUCUGGAGACCCCUGUGUUUUGUGGGGUUCCUCUCCGUCUGGUCAGCCAUCAAGGGAAGAAAUCUGAUUAAGGUCUGGGCUCAUCUUGUAGAUAGAUAAUAAAACCUUCCCAGCACCAAGCCA